rnacentral:lncRNA from 1 species
GGGAUGAGAGGCCACUUGCAGAGAGAAGCCACAGGCAGCCGAACGAGCCCUUUGGUCUCCCUGGUGGUCUCUCGAAGACCUUUCCAGAGGCAUCACGGAAGAGCAGGGAAGCCAAGGGAGCCAGAGGGCCACCUGCCCCAGCACCCUCUUCACAGGAGCCAUUAAUUGCUUUUUCAAGAUAUGUCUGAAGCGAGGACAAAAGCAAAGAACUUCAUUUGGGAAUUUGGUGUAGUGAUAAAGGAGGGAAGAGAGAAAGCAGAAGUGCCCAGUGGCUUUUUCCUUCUGCGCUAUUCAACAAGGCAGCCCAGUGUUCAACCCUAAAGAAGGUAAAACAAACAACGCAAAGAGGGAAUUUCAGUUUCAGAUAGGCUCUUGCCUAUUGAGCUAGUGAGAGACAGCCUAGUCACUUCAAGUGGCCUCAAGAAUCCAGGCCAGUAUGAAUUGGAUUACAGGGCCUCAAGGAAUUUCAGAAUCACUAACAGUCAUCUUUGAGAGAUUAUGAGAAGCAGAAAAAUAAUAAUGGAAGACUGAGGAGAGUAAGGGAUUGUCAGAGAAAGUAAUAUUUGCUCUUUGCUGCUACAGAGAACCAAAGCAAAACCAAUGAAUUUCAGUUAUAAAUAGAUAUGAGUGUCAAUGAAAGGAGGGAAGUUAUAUGUGGAAUCUUAAAAAGGUGGUGGGGGGCGGGUGUACAAAUGAACUUAUUUGCAAAACAGAAAUAGAGUUACAGAUGUAGUAAACAAACUUAUGGUUACGGGGUCGGAGGGGAGAGGAGAAGGAUAAGUUGGGAGACUGGGAUUGAGACACACACACUACUAUACAUAAAGAGAUAACUAAUAAGGACCUACUGUACAGCACAGGGAACUCUACUCAAUACUGUGUAAUGACCUAUAUGGGAAAAGAAUCUACAAAAGAGUGGAUAUAUGUACAGCCGAUUCACUCUGUUGUAGAUCAAAAAGUAAUACAACAUUGUCAAUCAACUAUACACCAAUAAAAAAUUAAUUAGAAAAGAAAAAAAGCA